rnacentral:rRNA from 1 species
CACGUAGGGUGCGAGCGUUGUCCGGAAUUAUUGGGCGUAAAGAGCUCGUAGGCGGUGUGUCGCGUCGGCCGUGAAAACCUGCAGCUUAACUGUGGGCUUGCGGUCGAUACGGGCAGGCUAGAGUUCGGUAGGGGAGACUGGAAUUCCUGGUGUAGCGGUGAAAUGCGCAGAUAUCAGGAGGAACACCGGUGGCGAAGGCGGGUCUCUGGGCCGAUACUGACGCUGAGGUGCGAAAGCGUGGGGAGCAAACAGG